CGCGUAGGCGGCAAGGCAAGUCAGAUGUGAAAUCCCCGGGCUCAACCUGGGAAUUGCAUCUGAAACUGCAGUGCUUGAGUCCUGGAGGGGAUAGUGGAAUUCUCAGUGUAGCGGUGAAAUGCGUAGAUAUUGGGAGGAACACCUGCGGCGAAGGCGGCUAUCUGGACAGUGACUGACGCUGAUGCGCGAAAGCCAGGGGAGCGAACG
rnacentral:rRNA from 1 species